rnacentral:rRNA from 1 species
CAGCCGCCACGGGAAUACGAAGGGGGCUAGCGUUGCUCGGAAUCACUGGGCGUAAAGGGUGCGUAUGCGGGUCUUUAAGUCAGGGGUGAAAUCCUGGAGCUCAACUCCAGAACUGCCUUUGAUACUGAAGAUCUUGAGUUCGGGAGAGGUGAGUGGAACUGCGAGUGUAGAGGUGAAAUUCGUAGAUAUUCGCAAGAACACCAGUGGCGAAGGCGGCUCACUGGCCCGAUACUGACGCUGAGGCACGAAAGCGUGGGGAGCAAACAGGAUUAGAUACCCCUGUAGUCCCUGUCUCUUAUAC